UACGUAGGGGGCAAGCGUUGUCCGGAUUUAUUGGGCGUAAAGAGCGUGUAGGCGGCCAGGUAGGUCUGCUGUGAAAACUCGAGGCUUAACCUCGAGCUGUCGGCGGAAACCAUCUGGCUAGAGUCCGGAAGAGGAGAAUGGAAUUCCCGGUGUAGCGGUGAAAAUGCGCAGAUAUCGGGAAGAACACCCGUGGCGAAGGCGGUUCUCUGGGACGGUACUGACGCUGAGACGCGAAAGCGUGGGGAGCGAACAGG
rnacentral:rRNA from 1 species